AAUUUUCAAAGCUCCCAAUCUCAAUCCCACGAUCUUCAAACCACUUCCAGCAAACAUUGAACUCAAACCCUAGAAACAAAAUCAAUCUUCUUCUAGCUUCAAACCUAAAGGAAUCGAACUUCGAUAAAAUUCGUUCCUCUGUAAUCAAACUCAGAGCAAUCGAAACUCAAAGAUGUUGUUUUCCAAGAGCAAUCGUUUCCCAUUAAUCGUUGGUCUUCUCCAAUCACACUCGUCAAUCCUAAUAUCCAAGAACCUAGAAACCACCGUGAACCCUAUCCCAUAAUCCAUAAAUUAUCUUCUAUCCAAGAACCUCAAUCCAAUAACCCACCGAUUUAACUGUCGGAAGUCGUACUCGUUCAUCCCCGUGCUCUUACAACUCAAACUGCCAUCAUUAAGGUUUUUCUUUCAUAGGUGUGGUUUUGUGCAUUCAUUUUUCAAUAUGGUACAUAACUUAUCAACACUGCACAUCAAGAGUACUACUAGUACAACUAUGUGAGGUGACUCAUUAUACAUAAUCUCAAGGAAGAGGGUUUAUUGAAGGACCUCAAUUCACAAGAAGGUGACAAUGAAGAUGUAAAGAGUUACGGUGUUGGGGACUUUCAUCACUGAAUGGGGUGAGGGAAAGGCUAACUGUGAUAUACUGCUUUCAACAAAGGAGUCUGCACGAAUGUAUGCAGAAUGUCUGCCAGAGCUUGCUGUUCAUUUAGGCUUCGAUGGGUGGCUAGUAUAUAUUUCAUCAUCUCUCUGUGCAUUUUUGCUGCAAGUUUUUUAUUUUUAUUUUGUUGUAAUGUCCUAUAUUGUUUAUGAGAUUUGCAACUAGUUUUUUGAUCAAUAUAUGUUUUGGCCAUUUAGUCUUUUAUAAUUCUAGUGUUAUAGUCCGGUCCAUAUGUAGUCUUUCUUUGUAUAUGUUUUGGCCACUUAGUUUUAUGUGAUUCUAGUGUCAAUGUUAGUGACUGGAUUGUGUUGUAACAAAUGGAU